UCUAAUUGUGAAAGUUAUAGAGGUUUCGAGCCAUAUUAGGUAACAAAAGCUUAAGGGUGGUGGUAAACAAGAUUCUCGUGAGAAACGAGUUGAAUGGUCAUAUUGUAAUUAUUAUCGUGGUGGUGAAGUUAUAUUUGGUCAUUAGGGACAACAAAGAUUAGUAUCACAAGUGGGAUAGUUUUAGUAGACAUACUUUUUGGCAGUGCAGAGUCGUAGAUUAGAUCACGAGGCAUAUAAAAAAAAAAUUCACUUUUCCUUAGAGUAAUUUUGAUUCUAUAGUGGUUGAUUUCAAUCUGAAUUUUUUUACAAAGAUGGAAAAAAAUUGUGCUUUCAAUGUGGUCGAGUAUGACAUAACAUGAGGGAUGAUUGUUGGCAGAUAUGACGCAAAUAUUAUCACACUAGUAGCUUUAGUAUAGAUUAAGAUAAGAUGUUGAGUAUGAAUUGGUUGUUCUUCCAUCAUGUCACCAUAGUCUACUAUAACAAGGUAGUGAGAAUUAAGAUGCUGAGUAAUAACUUUCUCCGGCCUUUCGAGGAAAAAUGUGGUUUGGUACCAUAUAAUUUAAUCUCAUGUUUAGGAGCUAACAAUUUAUUUACAGUGGUUGUCAAGGACAAUUGGUUCUGAUUAUGAAUAUACAAGUGAGUUAAAAAUAAAAUAAAUUCUUAGAUUGCCCCAUGAUAAGAAGAUUAAGUUCUCCAUAGAUUUAGUUCCUAACACUCAACGACAUCCAUACGUCUAGAACAAAUGGUUAACAAAACUUUAGGUGUUAAGAGAGAAACUACAUGAUUUUCUCAAUAAGAUAUUUAUUAGCCCAACUUCUUUUCCUUGGGAAUCCCUGAUAUUGCUUAUAAGGAAGAAAGAAGUUCAUGAUCCCAUUCUUGCUCAUUUUACCAAAAUAAAGGGGCCUAUAAUUAAAGAAUUACAAGAACUUGUUGAAAGUGGAAUUUAAUUUUAGCUUGAUCAUUCAAGGACAUUGUUAGACCAUGUGUAAAUCGUCCCCCCAAAUUUAUUUUUUUCCGUAGUUGAUGAUAUCAUGAAGUCUCUGUCAAGGUUUAGACUUGGUCAAGUUGGUAGAUAAUGCGAGAAACUGUAAGUUACGAACUUCUUAGUUGAUUUUACGGUGUUUUGUGGUUGAAGUCUUGAUUUUACGUGUCCCAAAUAUUGGUGAUUUAAGAAAAAAAAAUAAUAUUAAAGGAGUAUCAUCAUUCUUGUUAUACUAUUCACUCAGAUUCGAAUAAAAUCUACUAAUACUUAAGAUAAUUAUACCGCUGGAAAUGGAUGAAAGGGGAGGUAAAAGAUUUUGUGCUUGGUGUGCUAGCAAGUUUAGGUUGAUGACCAAAAGCUUUCAACUUUACUUCAACUUGUUGAAAUAGGUAAGCUAAAGUGGGAGUGCAUUGUCAUGGAUUUCAUUAUAUUUUUACCACUAACUCAAAAAGUUUAUGACUCUGUGGGUGAUUAUAAAUUAAUUAACGAAGUCUGCAGAUUCUUUAUUUGUUAAGAAUACUAAUAUUCCACCUCAGUAUGCUAAGAAUAAUUUAAACGAGAUCGUUUCUUUACAUGGUAUGUCAAUCUCUAUUAUCUUUAGCAACAUGGCUCAGUUGACUGCUCUGUUUUGGAAGUCUAUCUGAAAUGGAAACCCGUUUUAAAUCUUAGUACAAUCAUUACCCUCGGACUGAUGGUCAAUCUGUUAAAACUAUACAAUACAUAGAGAAUAUGUUUCGUGCUAUUGUUGUUAAUAUUGGAGGAAGUUGGUCAAUGUUUUUUCUAUGAUAUAAUUUUCAUAUAAAUAGUUACCAAUCUAGUAUUAAAGUGGUGCCUUUUGCAACAUUGUGUAUAGAUGAUGUAUGUUUUCGAUAGGAUGGUUUGAGGUUGGUUAGUCUAAACUAGUGCGUCUAGAGUUGAUUCGAGAUAUUAUUGAAAAGGUUAAGAUCAUCUAAGAGUGUUUAAUGCUAACUCGAAGUAGGAAGAGUCCUACUCCAAUCAGAGGUGUCAUCCUUAAGGCUUAGGGUGGGAGUCCAUGUAUUCCUACAUGUUUCACCAAUGUAGGGUGUAUUGUGGUUUGACAAAAAAUGGGAAAAUUGGUUCAAGGUUCAUUGGAAUGAAGUUUUGGCAGAAAUUCAAACUUCUAGCUUUUCGUUUAGCCCUUCGACCAUAUCUCUCGACAGUCCAUGUGAUUGUUAUAUUUCUAUGCUCUAGAAAUACCUUUAUGACCCUUUCAUGCGAUUAGUCAUGAAAAUGUGCAGCUAGACUAGGAUUUUCUUAUGUCGAACCAUUUGACAACUAUAAUAUAUAGAUAAGAAAGUGAUAUAUAUGUUUAUGAUCAAAGGGUGUCGUUUAAGUAAAUAAUCUACGACAGAGAUUGUUUAACGAGAUAAUAGCUUGAGAACCCAGAUAAGUCAUGUGUGACAAGUAUCCACGUUUAUUUGAGAAUCAAGGUUAGUAGUAUAAAUUCGAGGACGAAUUUUUUUAAGGGGGGAAGAUUGAAACGCACCGUUUCAUUUAAAAAAUAAAUAAAUAAUAAUAAAAAUAAAUAAAAACCACUGAACCCCACCCCACCCAUCAAUUCUCCACAUUUCUAGUUUCUUCUUUCACUUUCUCUACUUCCCCUGUUCCACGUUUUUUCUUUCUUUCCUUUUCUCUAUCUUUCCAUUUCAUCUCUUCUCAUUCCAACAACAAAUAUCAACCAUACACUUAAAAGGAAGACACUACAUCUCUAGUAUAAGCUUUCUCAUGCUUCCACAAAUAUUAUUGGGUAUAAUUUUGGGGUUAGGGUUAAUGCUUUAAGGAAGGAGAUGAAUACCCACUCUUGGAAAAUUGUUCAUUGAGACUCUUUGAGAUAUGACGCUGGAAGCUUCACAUGCUUCUCAGGAGUGGUGGGAGAGCAAACUUAGUUGAUUCGUCAUAACUAUUCAAAGUCAGCUGAGUAGGGGUUUCUAGCAGAUAUUGAGAGUCGUCGGUAUCAUUCUUUUGGUAGGCUUCCUUGAUGAAAUGUUACUUUGUAUAUGUAUAUUUUGAGUUGAUCGAAUAUCUGCAGCUAUCUUGAGUCUAGGAAUCUUUUGUGUUGAAAUGCAUAAAUUUAAACGUAUAUUUUGAAACUUCUGACUUAAUGAUGUAUAUGCUGUAAACAGGAUUUAUUUUGAUUUGGAAAUAUUAUAUUUAUUGUUUGUUAAA